UACGGGGGGGGCAAGCGUUGUUCGGAAUUACUGGGCGUAAAGGGCUCGUAGGCGGCCAACUAAGUCGGAUGUGAAAUCCCCAGGCUCAACCUGGGAACUGCAUCCGAUACUGGAUGGCUUGAAUUCGGGAGAGGGAUGCAGAAUUCCAGGUGUAGCGGUGAAAUGCGUAGAUAUCUGGAGGAACACCGGUGGCGAAGGCGGCAUCCUGGACCAACACUGACGCUGAGGAGCGAAAGCCAGGGGAGCAAACGGG
rnacentral:rRNA from 1 species